CACACAACUCCAGGUUGUUACUACAAGUGUCAUCAAGGGAUAACUACAAGUAGAAGCACCAUUUUUGGAUGGAAAAAACCCUUCAGGAAAGUAUACGUAUCACAUGUAACAUGUAGUGUAACAAAGUAUGAACAGUAAGGUUUUUACAUACAGUAGUACAUAUUACAUACGUACAUAACUUUUUUUACAGGAAUUUCCAACCAAGUUUGAUUAUGUACAUAUGUACAUGUUAUAAACCACUGUACGUAUGGUUACUGUAUGUAACUUACUAAACAUACAUAACAUGACUUAACUUUGGUACUUUUUUUGGUACAUUCCAGAAAACCAGGACCCCCUCCAUGAUGCAGGCUAUGGGGCCACAUAAAACUUUGUCCAGGGUUACUACAUAACAUAGCACGACAACUGUAAACUAUGUACUACUGUACUAAAGAACCCCCUGAAUGAUGUAGGCUAUGGGGCCACAUAAGACUUUGUCCAUCCAGGGUUACGUUGAAUGACAAAUUUAAACUAAAGAACCCCCUGAAUGAUGUAGGCUAUGGGGCCACAUAAGACUUUGUCCAUCCAGGGUUACGUUGAAUGACAAAUUUAAACUAAAGAACCCCCUGAAUGAUGUAGGCUAUGGGGCCACAUAAGACUUUGUGCAUCCAGGGUUACGUUGAAAGACAAAUUUAAACUAAAAAGCUACCAGACUGGGAUUUUAGUGUACUCCAGGAUCUAACAAAUACUACUACGAAGUGUACAGUGCAUAAUAUAGUGUUUAGUGCAUAAUCUAACCUAAGGAUUAAGUGUAGUACAUUGUGCUUUAUAGUGUCACAAGAGUUUAAUAAAGAAUUAUACCUUCAAGAACCAUCCUUUGCCAUUGAAAUAACCACACUACACAUCAUGCAAUAUACUUGCAUGUCACACAGGUAAGGUCUCUAACUUUUUCUUAGUUUAAGGCAUAUUUCCAAGUGUCGUUCCGGCUUACGACGAUUUUCGGCUUACGACGCGCCUCAAGAACGGAACCCCCGUCGUAACCCGGGGACUGCCUGUAUAUAUAUAUAUAUAUAUAUAUAU